GAGUUUGAUCAUGGCUCAGGAUGAACGCACAAGACGUGCCUAACACAUGCAAAUCGAAUGAAAACAAUUUAAUUAAAUUGUUUUCAUGGUGAACGGGUGAGUAACACAUAAGAAUCAGCUUUUAGAUAAGGCAUAAAAGAGUAAUAUCUUGGUAAUUCCUUAUAUGCGCAGCAGUGCUUAAAAAGGGGACUCCCGUCUAAAAACGAGCUUAUGCCUGAUUAGCUAGUUGGCGAGUUAAAAGCUCACCAAGGCGAAGAUCAGUAGCUGGCCUGAGAGGGCGGCCAGCCACAUUGGGACUGAGACACGGCCCAAACUCCUACGGGAGGCAGCAGUGGGGAAUCUUCUGCAAUGGGCGCAAGCCUGACAGAGCGGCGUCAUGUGAAGGAAGAAGGCCUGAAAUAGGUUGUAAACUUCUUUUACUGAGUAAUGAAUACUGACAACGCAGUAAAAAAGUAUCGGCUAACUCCGUGCCAGCAGCCGCGGUAAUACGGGGGAUGCAAGCGUUAUCCGGAAUCACUGGGCGUAAAGCGUCUGUAGAUGGUUUAGUGUGUUCUUAGUUAAAUUAUGAAGCCUAACUUCAUGAAAAGUAAGAAAACUAUUAGACUUGAGUACGAUAGGGGUAAGAGGAAUUCUUCGAGAAGUAGUGAAAUGCGAAGAUACGAAGGAGAAGAUCAUAAGCGAAGGCUUCUUACUGGGUCGUAACUGACACUGAGAGACGAAAGCUAGGGGAGCGAAUGGGAUUAGAUACCCCAGUAGUCCUAGCUGUAAACGAUGGAUAUUCGGUGCCGGAUUUUAUUAGAACAUUUCGGUACCCUAGCUAACGCGUUAAAUAUCCCGCCUGAGGAGUACGCUCGCAAGGGUGAAACUCAAAGGAAUUGACGGGGGCUCGCACAAGCGGUGGAGCAUGUGGUUUAAUUCGAUGCAAAGCGAAGAACCUUACCAGGGCUUGACAGUAUGUAUAAAAGUCUUAACGGACU
rnacentral:rRNA from 1 species